UUGAUCCAUGGCUCAGAUUGAACGCUGGCGGCAGGCCUAACACAUGCAAGUCGAGCGGAUGACAGGAGCUUGCUCCUGAAUUCAGCGGCGGACGGGUGAGUAAUGCCUAGGAAUCUGCCUGGUAGUGGGGGACAACGUUUCGAAAGGAACGCUAAUACCGCAUACGUCCUACGGGAGAAAGCAGGGGACCUUCGGGCCUUGCGCUAUCAGAUGAGCCUAGGUCGGAUUAGCUAGUUGGUGAGGUAAUGGCUCACCAAGGCGACGAUCCGUAACUGGUCUGAGAGGAUGAUCAGUCACACUGGAACUGAGACACGGUCCAGACUCCUACGGGAGGCAGCAGUGGGGAAUAUUGGACAAUGGGCGAAAGCCUGAUCCAGCCAUGCCGCGUGUGUGAAGAAGGUCUUCGGAUUGUAAAGCACUUUAAGUUGGGAGGAAGGGCAUUAACCUAAUACGUUAGUGUUUUGACGUUACCGACAGAAUAAGCACCGGCUAA
rnacentral:rRNA from 1 species